CAGAGAGAAAGGUCUUCCUUUUGCCUUUGGUUCACCCUCCAAUGGCCACUGCAGCCGGUGCACUGCACUGAUCCGAAGGCAGCAGCCAGGAGCCAGGAGCCAGGUGCUUCUCCUGGUCUCCCAUGGGGUACAGGGCCCAAGCACCUGGGCCAUCCUCCACUGCACUCCCCGGCCAUAGCAGAGAGCUGGCCUAGAAGAGGAGCAACCGGGACAGAAUCCAGCACCCCGACCGGGACUAGAACCCGGUAUGCCGGCGCCUCAAGGCAGAGGAUUAGCCUACUGAGCCGCGGCGCCGGCCUGUGUUUUUAACUUCUGUUUUUGAAAGUUCCACCUGCACAGAAGUGGAGAAAAUAGUAGAACAGGCCACCAUGUACUCAUAAAAUAGCAUUACAAUCAUCAACCCAUGUUCAAUAUUCACUCACUCCCCAUCCAUUCCCACCCUGCUGGAUUAUUUUGAAAAAUUCUAGAUAAUAAAUCUUUUAGACUAUAAAUAUUUCACAGUAUGUCUCUAAAAGAUAACAUUUAGACAUUUUUUUUACCACAAUACCAUUAGCACACCUGCAAAACUGAAAAUUUUCUUAGUGUCAUCAAAUACCAAAUAUAACAAUUUCUCCAAUAAACAAUCUGUUUGAAUGUGAAUCCAAAUAACAUUCUGAAAUAGCUAAUUUUAUGUGUCAGCUUUACUGGGUGAUGGGAUACCCACACAGCCAGAAACAGUAUUUCUGGGUCAGUUUGGGAGGGCAUUUUCCGAAGAGAUUAGCACUUGAAACAGUAAACUGAGUAAAGAAGAUCCUCCCAAAUCAAUGUUGUUGGGUCCGAUUUGUUGAGGGCCUGGACGGAACAAAAGUCAAAGGAAGGGGGAAUCCUGUCUCCUGGAGCUGAGGCAUCCAUUUUUCCCUGCCUUGGGACAUCUUAGCUCCAGGUUCUUAAGGCCUCCAGAAUACGGGACUUAGCAUCAACAGCUCUGAGGACUCUCAGAUUCUUGGGCUCUAGACUUAGACUGAAUUACACAAUCUACUUUACUGGAGAACUGCAUGUACAUCAUGUGAUUCUCAGCCCCUACAAUCACAUGAGCCAAUUCCCAUAAAAUAUUCUCUUCUACAUCUACCUCUAUGCUAUUGGUUUUAUUUCUUUGCUGAAGCCUAAUACAUAUCCAUGAACUGCACCUGGAAUGACUGGGCUUCGUUGGAAAGCUUUAUAUAAUGUCAGCUGGAUUUGCAGUCAUCUGGAGAUUCAGCCAAGCUGGAAUGUCCAAGAUGGCUCCUUCCCGUGACCUCAGAUUGGAGUGUUUCCUCUGCUGAAAAUGCUACCAGGUAAGGAAGCUGAGCUGCAGAGAGGGCCUCGGGAGGAACCUCAGCCCCCAGGAUUCAGGCUCUUGUGCGAUCCUCUCCCUCUCCGGUCCUGGGCACCACCUGAAAGAAGCAAUCCGUGGGAUUUCCAAGGUUAGCACAUGAAAAAGCCUCGACCCUUCCACCUGUUUCUUCUGAAAUGCUCAUUCUGUGGAAAGCCAGCCGCAUGCUAGAAGUCUAAGCCCAGCACGCACUGAGGAGGCCCAAGUUAGCCAAAUGGAGGAAGAGAGAAACGUGCUAAGCAAACCACCAGAGAUUUCAGCCACUUCAGCCCAGGGAACCAGACAGAGAAAUGAA